GAGGCUGAGCAGUAGUCUACAUGUGUCAGUCAGUGAAUGAGAGAGGAGGCUGUGCAGUAGUCUACAUGUGUCAGUCAGUGAAUGAGAGAGGGAGGAUAUGCAGUAGUCUACAUGUGUCAGUCAGUGAAUGAGAGAGGAGGCUGAGCAGUAGUCUACAUGUGUCAGUCAGUGAAUGAGAGAGGAGGCUGAGCAGUAGUCUACAUGUGCCAGUCAGUGAAUGAGAGAGGAGGCUGAGCAGUUGUCUACAUGUGUCAGUCAGUGAAUGAGAGGAGGCUGUGCAGUAGUCUACAUGUGUCAGUCAGUGAAUGAGAGAGGAGGCUGUGCAGUAGUCUACAUGUGUCAGUCAGUGAAUGAGAGAGGAGGCUGUGCAGUAGUCUACAUGUGUCAGUCAGUGAAUGAGAGAGGAGGCUGUGCAGUAGUCUACAUGUGUCAGUCAGUGAAUGAGAGAGGGAGGAUAUGCAGUAGUCUACAUGUGUCAGUCAGUGAAUGAGAGAGGAGGCUGUGCAGUAGUCUACAUGUGUCAGUCAGUGAAUGAGAGAGGAGGCUGUGCAGUAGUCUACAUGUGUCAGUCAGUGAAUGAGAGAGGGAGGAUAUGCAGUGGUCUACAUGUGUCAGUCAGUGAAUGAGAGAGGGAGGAUAUGCAGUAGUCUACAUGUGUCAGUCAGUGAAUGAGAGAGGGAGGAUAUGUGGUCUGAUGCACUUGUCUGGCUGCAUUAGCAGCACUGUACCACCAGGGUUGUUCAACCAGCCUAAAAGAAAAUGGUCCUUCGCCUCAUGUCACCUGCACUAAAAGCCAUGGCAGAACACAGGAUGUGACUCAUAGAAGACAGGGUCAGGGCUCCAGUAGCAGACUGGUGCUGGGUCGUAUUCAUUAGGUACCUGGACGGAAGAAAACAGACAAACACGGAGGGACCACCUGAAAUUGUCCAAUAAUAAACACUUGUUUUCGUUUCCUGUUGCAAAAUGUUUUGCUAAUGUAUGCGCUAAUGAAGACGACCCUGUUAGGACCUUGUAAGAGGGGCCUCAUCGAAACACUACAACAGGAAAUGCUUUCUUAGUCUAAUCAAGUAAUAAUGUAGUCAUUUGGUGAAUGCGUUUAUCCAAGGAGACUAAAAGAUAUACUCAAUUCAAAAUGUUUGCAGCUUGAUGAUUGAGUUCAGAAUUGAACAUUCGGCUGGUUUUCCUUGCCUUUCAGAAUCCAAAAAAUGUAUUUAAUUAAUUGUGCAAAUAAUAAAACCUACAGCAACAGCUAUAGAACACAGCUAGAUUGUAUGGUCAUUUGUGAAUUGUUUCAUUGAGGUCUGCUCUGUGUAAAGACUACAGCAUCACAAUGUCAACGUUAUUUCCAUUUCAAAUGUAUUUCCUUCAUCCUUCCUGACCCUUUGUCUGUUCUGUCGUUUACCCUCAGAAAGUGUGAUGGAGACAGAGCUAUUGAAAGUGUGACGGAGGCAAAGCUAUUGAAAAGUGUGACGAGGCAGAGCU